AAAUAUACGAGAUGGUAAAAAUAGCUGGAGCACUGUUGCCUCGCCGGAGCCCUUGAAACACAAGGGCCUAGAGGCACGUGCUAUACGAAAGAGCUAUCACAGCGGUAUCCUCUGAAGAGAGGACCCGCUAUGAACAUGUGGGGCUAAUAACAUGCAGGACAACAUCUUUCAGGAAAUUUAGGACUGCGUUGGUAUCAAAUAGCGGUUCUGGGCCGAGUAACAUUACGGGAUGUAGGGGGAUGUGCUGCCGGUAUGCUAGGGAAAAAUGUUUCCUUCUUUCAGAUUCGGCUGCCCGACACUCCAGGAGGACGUGGAGGACGGUCAGCCUCUCCCCGCAUCUACCGCAAGUUGGAGGAUCAUUUUCAGGUGCAGUACACCGGAUUCCGAGAAGGACGGACCAAUGGCUGCGUAGGACACCCCGGCAUGCGACUUAGAAGCGUCUGUGUAAAACUCUGUGCACGAGUACUUGUACUGGAGCUCCAAGAAAUGCAUUUUGAUAUGUGUC